ACUCCUACGGGAGGCAGCAGUGGGGAAUAUUGCACAAUGGGCGCAAGCCUGAUGCAGCCAUGCCGCGUGUAUGAAGAAGGCCUUCGGUUGUAAAGUACUUCUAGCAGUGAGGAAGGUGGUGCAGUUAAUAGCUGUAUCAUUUGACGUUAGCUGCAGAAGAAGCACCGGCUAACUCCGUGCCAGCAGCCGCGGUAAUACGGAGGGUGCGAGCGUUAAUCGGAAUUACUGGCGUAAAGCGCAUGCAGGUGGUUUGUUAAGUCAGAUGUGAAAGCCCGGGGCUCAACCUCGGAAUUGCAUUUGAAACUGGCAGACUAGAGUACUGUAGAGGGGGUAGAAUUUCAGGUGUAGCGGUGAAAUGCGUAGAGAUCUGAAGGAAUACCGGUGGCGAAGGCGGCCCCCUGGACAGAUACUGACACUCAGAUGCGAAAGCGUGGGGAGCAAACAGGAUUAGAUACCCUUGUAGCACAGAG
rnacentral:rRNA from 1 species